AAUAGAUACCCUGGUAGUCCACGCCGUAAACGAUGAGUGCUAAGUGUUAGAGGGUUUCCGCCCUUUAGUGCUGCAGCUAACGCAUUAAGCACUCCGCCUGGGGAGUACGGCCGCAAGGCUGAAACUCAAAGGAAUUGACGGGGGCCCGCACAAGCGGUGGAGCAUGUGGUUUAAUUCGAAGCAACGCGAAGAACCUUACCAGGUCUUGACAUCCUCUGCCAACCCUAGAGAUAGGGCGUUCCCCUUCGGGGGACAGAGUGACAGGUGGUGCAUGGUUGUCGUCAGCUCGUGUUGUGAGAUGUUGGGUUAAGUCCCGCAACGAGCGCAACCCUUGAUCUUAGUUGCCAGCAUUCAGUUGGGCACUCUAAGGUGACUGCCGGUGACAAACCGGAGGAAGGUGGGGAUGACGUCAAAUCAUCAUGCCCCUUAUGACCUGGGCUACACACGUGCUACAAUGGAUGGUACAAAGAGCUGCGAACCCGCGAGGGUAAGCGAAUCUCAUAAAGCCAUUCUCAGUUCGGAUUGU
rnacentral:rRNA from 1 species